AGAGUUUGAUCCUGGCUCAGGAUGAACGCUGGCGGUAUGCUUAACACAUGCAAGUCGAACGGAAGUCUUCGGACUUUAGUGGCGGACGGGUGAGUAACGCGUGAGAAUCUGGCUUUAGGUCGGGGACAACAGUUGGAAACGACUGCUAAUACCGGAUAUGCCGAGAGGUGAAAGAUUAAUUGCCUGAAGAAGAGCUCGCGUCUGAUUAGCUAGUUGGUGGGGUAAGAGCUCACCAAGGCGACGAUCAGUAGCUGGUCUGAGAGGACGAUCAGCCACACUGGGACUGAGACACGGCCCAGACUCCUACGGGAGGCAGCAGUGGGGAAUUUUCCGCAAUGGGCGAAAGCCUGACGGAGCAAUACCGCGUGAGGGAGGAAGGCUCUUGGGUUGUAAACCUCUUUUCUUAGGGAAGAAAAAAAUGACGGUACCUAAGGAAUCAGCAUCGGCUAACUCCGUGCCAGCAGCCGCGGUAAUACGGAGGAUGCAAGCGUUAUCCGGAAUGAUUGGGCGUAAACGUCCGCAGGUGGCAUUUCAAGUCUGCGGUCAAAGGUCGAGGCUCAACCUCGAACAGGCCGUGGAAACUGAAAAGCUAGAGUGUGGUAGGGGCAGAGGGAAUUCCUGGUGUAGCGGUGAAAUGCGUAGAGAUCAGGAAGAACACCGGUGGCGAAANNNNCUCUGCUGGACCUUAACUGACACUGAGGGACGAAAGCUAGGGGAGCGAAUGGGAUUAGAUACCCUAGUAGUCC
rnacentral:rRNA from 1 species